UACGUAGGGUGCAAGCGUUAAUCGGAAUUACUGGGCGUAAAGCGUGCGCAGGCGGCUUUGCAAGACAGAUGUGAAAUCCCCGGGCUCAACCUGGGAACUGCAUUUGUGACUGCAUGGCUAGAGUACGGUAGAGGGGGAUGGAAUUCCGCGUGUAGCAGUGAAAUGCGUAGAUAUGCGGAGGAACACCGAUGGCGAAGGCAGUCCCCUGGGCCUGCACUGACGCUCAUGCACGAAAGCGUGGGGAGCAAACAGGG
rnacentral:rRNA from 1 species